GGCUGGUCCAAAGGUAGUAAGUUAUCUCGAUUGUUUAUAGUCAGCUACAGAUCGAACUCCUUAUUUUACUUUCACUACUGCACUUGACUACUGUAAU
rnacentral:Y_RNA from 1 species